AUUGAACGCUGGCGGCAUGCUUUACACAUGCAAGUCGAACGGCAGCGCGGGCUUCGGCCUGGCGGCGAGUGGCGAACGGGUGAGUAAUGCAUCGGAACGUGCCCAGUAGUGGGGGAUAGCCCGGCGAAAGCCGGAUUAAUACCGCAUACGACCUGAGGGUGAAAGCGGGGGACCGAAAGGCCUCGCGCUAUUGGAUCGGCCGAUGUCGGAUUAGCUAGUUGGUGGGGUAAAGGCUUACCAAGGCGACGAUCCGUAGCUGGUCUGAGAGGACGACCAGCCACCCUGGGACUGGGACACGGACCAGACUCCUACGGGAGGGAGCAGUGGGGAAUUUUGGACAAUGGGGGCAACCCUGAUCCAGCCAUGCCGCGUGCGGGAAGAAGGCCUUCGGGUUGUAAACCGCUUUUGUUCGGGAAGAAAUCCUAUGGGCUAAUACCCCGGGGGGAUGACGGUACCGGAAGAAUAAGCACCGGCUAACUACGUG
rnacentral:rRNA from 1 species